rnacentral:rRNA from 1 species
GCAAGUGGAGCGACGACCAGGCUUCGGCCUGGGGCAAGCCGCGAACGGGUGAGUAACACGUGGGUAACCUGCCCCGAUGAUUGGGACAACCCGAGGAAACUCGGGCUAAUACCGAAUGUGCCCUCCGACCAUAAGGUCGCUGGGGAAAGGAAGCUUCGGCCUUCGCAUCGGGAUGGGCCCGCGGCCCAUUAGCUUGUUGGUGAGGUAACGGCUCACCAAGGCGACGAUGGGUAGCUGGUCUGAGAGGACGAUCAGCCACACUGGGACUGAGACACGGCCCAGACUCCUACGGGAGGCAGCAGUGGG